GUGUCAGCCGCCGCGGUAACACGGGGGGAGCAAGCGUUGUUCGGAAUCACUGGGCGUAAAGGGCGUGUAGGCGGUCAGGUAAGUGGAAUGUGAAAGCCCCCGGCUCACCCGGGGAUCUGCAUCCCAUACUGCCUGGCUUGAGUACGGGAGAGGAUAGGGGAAUUCCUGGUGUAGCGGUGAAAUGCGUAGAUAUCAGGAGGAACACCGGUGGCGAAGGCGCCUAUCUGGCCCGAUACUGACGCUGAGGCGCGAAAGCUAGGGGAGCAAACGGGAUUAGAUACCCGCGUAGUCC
rnacentral:rRNA from 1 species